GACGAACGCUGGCGGCGUGCUUAACACAUGCAAGUCGAACGGAAAGGCCCUGCUUUUGUGGGGUGCUCGAGUGGCGAACGGGUGAGUAACACGUGAGUAACCUGCCCUUGACUUUGGGAUAACUUCAGGAAACUGGGGCUAAUACCGGAUAGGAUCUCCUGCUGCAUGGUGGGGGUUGGAAAGUUUCGCCGGUUGGGGAUGGACUCGCGGCUUAUCAGCUUGUUGGUGGGGUAGUGGCUUACCAAGGCUUUGACGGGUAGCCGGGCUGAGAGGGUGACCGGCCCCAUUGGGCUUGGGAUGCGGCCCAGCCUAGAACGGGAGGCAACGGAGGGGAGUGGUGCAUAAUGGGAGGAGCCCUAGUGCGACAACGCCACGUGCGGGGUGUGAGCAUUCGGGUUGUAUACCACUUUCGCCUGUGCCGAGGCGUGAGUGACGGUAAUGGGUGAAGAAGCACCGGCUAACUACGUG
rnacentral:rRNA from 1 species